UACGUAGGGUGCGAGCGUUAAUCGGAAUUACUGGGCGUAAAGCGUGCGCAGGCGGUUCGCUAAGACAGGUGUGAAAUCCCCGGGCUUAACCUGGGAAUGGCGCUUGUGACUGGCGGGCUUGAGUACGGCAGAGGGAGGUGGAAUUCCACGUGUAGCAGUGAAAUGCGUAGAUAUGUGGAGGAACACCGAUGGCGAAGGCAGCCUCCUGGGCCAGUACUGACGCUCAUGCACGAAAGCGUGGGGAGCAAAC
rnacentral:rRNA from 2 species